GUCCGAGUAGCCAAGUGGAAAGGCGUUGGUCUGCAAAAUCAAUCAUCGUGGGUUCAAUUCCCACCUCGGACUCCA
rnacentral:tRNA from 1 species